AUGCUCGUUUCAGCAGCACAUAUACUAAAAUUGGAACAGUGAAGAGAAGAUUAGCAUGAUCUCUGCACAAGGAUGGCAUGAAAAUUCGUGAAGCAUUCCAUAUUUUU
ensembl:snRNA U6 U6 spliceosomal RNA